rnacentral:tRNA from 1 species
GGACUCGUGGCUCAAUGGAUAGAGCACCGGUCUACGGAACCGGGGGUUGGAGGUUCGAGUCCUCCCGAGUCCGCCA